GACGAACGCUGGCGGCGUGCUUAACACAUGCAAGUCGAACGGUAAACCUCUUCGGAGGGGAUCAUUGGCGAACGGGUGAGUAACACGUGGGCAACCUGCCCCCGGCUCUGGGAUAACUCCAAGAAAUUGGGGCUAAUACCGGAUGUUCACCGCUUCCCGCAUGGGUGGUGGUGGAAAGGGUUUCCGGCUGGGGAUGGGCCCGCGGCCUAUCAGCUUGUUGGUGGGGUAGUGGCCUACCAAGGCGACGACGGGUAGCCGGCCUGGGAGGGUGACCGGCCACCAUGGGACUGAGACACGGCCCAGACUCCUACGGGAGGCAGCAGUGGGGAAUAUUGCGCAAUGGGCGGAAGCCUGACGCAGCGACGCCGCGUGGGGGAUGACGGCCUUCGGGUUGUAAACCUCUUUCAGCAGGGACGAAGCGCAAGUGACGGUACCUGCAGAAGAAGCACCGGCCAACUACGUG
rnacentral:rRNA from 1 species